UGGGGAAUUUUGGACAAUGGGCGAAAGCCUGAUCCAGCAAUGCCGCGUGUGUGAAGAAGGCCUUCGGGUUGUAAAGCACUUUUGUCCGGAAAGAAAUCCUUGGCUCUAAUACAGUCGGGGGAUGACGGGUACCGGAAGAAUAAGCACCGGCUAACUACGUGCCAGCAGCCGCGGUAAUACGUAGGGUGCAAGCGUUAAUCGGAAUUACUGGGCGUAAAGCGUGCGCAGGCGGUUUGCUAAGACCGAUGUGAAAUCCCCGGGCUCAACCUGGGAACUGCAUUGGUGACUGGCAGGCUAGAGUAUGGCAGAGGGGGGUAGAAUUCCACGUGUAGCAGUGAAAUGCGUAGAGAUGUGGAGGAAUACCGAUGGCGAAGGCAGCCCCCUGGGCCAAUACUGACGCUCAUGCACGAAAGCGUGGGGAGCAAACAGGAUUAGAUACCCUGGUAGUCCACGCCCUAAACGAUGUCAACUAGUUGUUGGGGAUUCAUUUCCUUAGUAACGUAGCUAACGCGUGAAGUUGACCGCCUGGGGAGUACGGUCGCAAGAUUAAAACUCAAAUGAAUUGACGGGGUCAUA
rnacentral:rRNA from 1 species